CCCCUAGACGUUCUGGGCUGCACGCGCGCUACAAUAAUACGCACAGCGAGUAUCACCGAGCUCGAAAGGGCAAGGUAAACAAUAGAAAAGGUACUGUAAUGGUUAUAGAUCCUUGUAAUUAUUGAUCUUCAACGAGGAAUUCCUAGUAAGUAUGUGUCACCAUCACGCACUGAUUACGUCCCUGCCCUUUGUACACACCGCCCGUCGCUCCUACCGAUUGGGUGAGCCGAUGAAACUCUCGGAUGUAGGCUAUUCAUAGCCCGCAGAAGAGAUUUGAAUCGUAGCGCUUAGAGGAAGGAGAAGUCGUAACA
rnacentral:rRNA from 1 species